rnacentral:rRNA from 1 species
GAUGAACGCUGGCGGCGUGCCUAAUACAUGCAAGUCGAGCGAACAGACGAGGAGCUUGCUCCUCUGACGUUAGCGGCGGACGGGUGAGUAACACGUGGAUAACCUACCUAUAAGACUGGGAUAACUUCGGGAAACCGGAGUUAAUACCGGAUAAUAUAUUGAACCGCAUGGUUCAAUAGUGAAAGACGGUUUUGCUGACACUUAUAGAUGGCUCCGCGCCGCAUUAGUUAGUUGGUAAGGUAACGGCUUACCAAGGCAACGAUGCGUAGCCGACCUGAGAGGGUGAUCGGCCACACUGGAGCUGAGACACGGUCCAGACUCCUACGGGAGGCAGCAGUAGGGAAUCUUCCGCAAUGGGCGAAAGCCUGACGGAGCAACGCCGCGUGAGUGAUGAAGGGCUUCGGAUCGUAAAACUCUGUUAUUAGGGAAGAACAAAUGUGUAAGUAACUAUGCACGUCUUGACGGUACCUAAUCAGAAAGCCACGGCUAACUACGUG